rnacentral:rRNA from 1 species
UGUCAGCCGCCGCGGUAAUACGUAGGGUGCGAGCGUUAAUCGGAAUUACUGGGCGUAAAGCGUGCGCAGGCGGUUUUGUAAGACAGAUGUGAAAUCCCCGGGCUUAACCUGGGAACUGCAUUUGUGACUGCAAGGCUAGAGUACGGCAGAGGGGGGUAGAAUUCCACGUGUAGCAGUGAAAUGCGUAGAUAUGUGGAGGAAUACCGAUGGCGAAGGCAGCCCCCUGGGUCGAUACUGACGCUCAUGCACGAAAGCGUGGGGAGCAAACAGGAUUAGAUACCCUGGUAGUCCACGCCCUAAACGAUGUCAACUAGGUGUUGGGGGGGGAGACUUCCUUAGUACCGCAGCUAACGCGUGAAGUUGACCGCCUGGGGAGUACGGUCGCAAGAUUAAAACUCAAAGAAAUUGACGG